ACCUACGGGAGGCAGCAGUGGGGAAUAUUGCGCAAUGGGCGAAAGCCUGACGCAGCGACGCCGCGUGAGGGAUGAAGGUCUUCGGAUCGUAAGCCUCUGUCGGCAGGGAAGAACGGUCACUGUGCUAAUCAGCAGUGAAUUGACGGUACCUGCAAAGGAAGCACCGGCUAACUCCGUGCCAGCAGCCGCGGUAAUACGGGGGGUGCGAGCGUUAAUCGGAAUUACUGGGCGUAAAGCGCUCGUAGGCGGUAUGUCAAGUCAAGGGUGAAAUCCCCGCGCUCAACGAGGGAACUGCCUUUGAAACU
rnacentral:rRNA from 1 species